UACAGAGACUGCAAGCGUUAUUCGGAUUCACUGGGCGUAAAGCGCACGUAGGCGGCUUCUUAAGUCAGGGGUGAAAUCCUGGAGCUCAACUCCAGAACUGCCUUUGAUACUGAGGAGCUCGAGUCCGGGAGAGGUGAGUGGAACUCCGAGUGUAGAGGUGAAAUUCGUAGAUAUUCGGAAGAACACCAGUGGCGAAGGCGGCUCACUGGCCCGGUACUGACGCUGAGGUGCGAAAGCGUGGGGGAGCAAACAGG
rnacentral:rRNA from 1 species